ACGACUCAAGCUGAAUGGUCGUUGUUGUGUACAGCUCCUUCACCUUGGGCGGAAUUGGAGUUUGACAACAUCAUCCUCACUGUACCCUCUGAUGUCGUCAGAUGUCUUGAUCAUCCCGAUAAGUUGGCGGACCUCUGGAAUGACAUCACGAAGGCCAUCGCUGACCUGGCUGCCAAAUCCCACAAAUUUUCAUGGAAAGACCAAUUUGUAGCAGACGUUCAAAUUUCACACGGUUUUAUGCAUGCAGGUUAUCCUAUAAUGGCACACCGGGGUUCUGCAAAUGGGUUGGUGGAUGUUAACCAUGUGAAGACCAACAGCAUUUGGUGUGAAAUCCAUGAGCUCGGACACAACCAGCAGCGAGGCUGCUGGGAGUUCCCUCCACACACCACUGAGUGCACAUGCAACCUGUGGUCAGUGUACUUGCAUGAAGUGGUGUUUGGGAUCAAAUGGGACAAAGUAAAGGAACACAGUGCCUAAAACAGGCUCAUUCGGCGAUAACUUCUGCAAAUCGAAAUAAACGACUCAAGGAUUAUAUCAACGGAGGCAAAAAGCUCAGCAGCAUGUGGGUGAACCUGGAGACAUACUUGCAGGUAAGAGAAUUAUAACCGCUAAAAAAUAUGGUUAUUUAACCUAAUCAAAAUUCUUAAAUACAGUAACAACUUUUCAGGAAUUAUUAAUAGGUCAAAUAUAUCUGAUGAAAAUCUUGUCAAAAGACUAUAUAAAUUUUUUUGUUGCAAUUGUAAACUGUUCCUGUUGAUUGUUCCCACAGUCACACCAGGUGUAGAGUGUGACUUUACCUCUGACUGAGUCUCAAGAUCUUCAUGCAAAGAAGAGUAAAAAUUCACUACAGUAAAAUCACGACACGGCGGCGAGAAGCUUAUAUUCUUCUUUUAAGAAUCCUUUUGUCUUAGCAGAAAACAGAGAAUUACAGACAAGGCCAAAUUUGUUAAGCAUGACAAGUAAAGAUCCUGAAAAUAAAUAACAUUUAUAUCGGUGGCAUGAUUUCACACUGAGAAGUUGGAAAAAUCCAACAUUUUGAGUGAAUCUGUUCACAGGGAAGGAAAAAUUCCACACAAAUAAAUGUCUGUUUUUAACAUAAUUACUAAUGACAGUACUUGGUGUCACUGAAAGCCCCUAAAAUAAAUAAAACUGAAGUUGUCUUGUAUUUUUAUUGUUUUUAAGUUGAUAGUGUCUAGGUAGUUCAAAGCAGUAACCCUUUGCUUUCUGUCUCAUUGGAGGCAUGAAUAAAACAAGACUCAUAGGCCCAUUUGUAGACACGUAAUAAUGCAAUAAACAGAUUAAGGGUGUUUUGUGAAGAUUUUGUAGAGAUUUGUUCACACUGCUUUACAUAAACUUCCUGCCACUGUUACACCCUGCUUUGCAUAACACACCACCAUUUUCAUUGAAAAAACAAAACAAAAACAAAAAAACACUGAAGGUGUUGACAUGGCUAUUAGAAU